rnacentral:rRNA from 1 species
UACGGAGGAUCCGAGCGUUAUCCGGAUUUAUUGGGUUUAAAGGGUGCGCAGGCGGAAGAUUAAGUCGGUGGUGAAAUUUUGCAGCUCAACUGUAAAAGUGCCAUUGAUACUGAUAGUCUUGAGUUUGGUUAAGGUAGGCGGAAUGUGUAAUGUAGCGGUGAAAUGCUUAGAUAUUACACAGAACACCAAUUGCGUAGGCAGCUUACUGAGCCGACACUGACGCUGAGGCACGAAAGCGUGGGGAUCGAACAGGAUUAGAUA